CUGUGGAACCUGGAAGGAUCAGGAUUCCUGAAAAUUUAAACCAGAACUCAGAUAUUCCAGUAAUUGCUCAUCAAGUGCCCACUAGUAGCUAAGCAUCUGCUACACAACAGCAUACAAAGUCUGGAAGGUCCAAAUUGGAUGUUUACUUGCAGUGAAUAUGUUUUUAAUGGUUUGUUAUAUUCAGAGGAUCAUAACUUCAAAGAUGGUCAUCAAUUAAUUCACAAAGAUAAUGUCAGAAGCAGGAUCCAAAGUGGAGCUUCUAGUGACCCCCAGGAGUGCUGAGUAAACACGCAAGGUACCUGCAGGACCCACUUGUGUCCAUUGAUCUCUCAGAGCAGCUGGGCAUCGUGGGUAAAGACCUUCACAAUCGGGAACCCGUAGAUUGGAUCUUCUGAAAACAUCAGAGAAAGACUAUCUUUGCCAUCCACACUACAGUAAAACUUUGGAGCCUUGAACCUUGGAUUUAUAAUCUCACAACUGAGAAGGGUCCCUCCAUACUCCUGGAACUGUACACCCAUUGGAACUCUUAAGGAUGAUAUACAUGGCCAGGUGAAGACAGUAGAGAGAAAACAGAACUGAAACCAGAGAGCCCUCUACAGAAGGAUGUAAUGGAUAAUUAUUGGUAUACAGUGAGGUUCAUAACCAAAAACAAAAGUUCUCUCCAUGAGACCUGGAAUCUGUAAACUGUCUUCUGGCUAAGGAAUCUGAAACUUAGGAUAAACAACUUGCCUAAUUUCUUAUGAUGGAGAUGUAAUAGUGGUUGGAAUUUGGACCUAUUCCUUCUGAUUCUGGAGCUCACCAGUUAACCACUCUGCUAAACUGCCUCCCCAAGAGGGAAUCACAAGUUCAAAUUCCAGGAGAGUUGGAUCAGCCUUUCCUCUCUGGCAGCCAGGCAAAGCGAGGGUCAUGCGAUCUACUCAGCACUUUGGGAUGUGACUUCAAAACCAAAGAACAAGAUCCAAGCAAAGUGUUUGAGCAAAGUGGCAAACCAGGAAAUGCUCAUUUAAUGGAUGCGAAUUUCCUGCAGGAAUGAUGGAAUGGAGUUCAGGUCAACAGCAAAUAUUGCAUGGCUGCUUACUUUCUUCCUGUGGUAUUCUCUACAAGGACAAAUAGCACAGAACCCCCUGCCAUCUCAUACAAGUGACAGAUUGUAUAUGGUAAAUAUCAACUAAGAAAUGCAGGAGAGAGUGCAGUGCUUGAUUAGCACACUGUGGUCUAUCUAUCUCGGGUUUGGAUUCUGCUUGACCGCUUGUUAGCCCAAGACGUUGGCAAGACACUUAGCCAUACUCAGCCUGAGUUUUCCUGUCUAUACAAUAGUGAUAAUUGUGGUACUCACUCUGCAAGCUUCAUGUGAAGAUUAAAUGAGGUGAUUCCCUAUAGCUCUUGCCACAGGGCAAGUACCUAAUCAAUAUCAGCUAUUAUGAUUCUUUUUAAUUUACUUUUUAAUUGUUACUAUUGUCAAAGCAGUUUGCAUGCUAGAGUGCUGCCCUUUCUCUGGCUGAAUGUGGGGAAACAGUAGCUAGCUCCUUGGUUUCCGGAGCUCCGUUGAGUGCUGGGAGAGUGGACUUACAGCUCUGUUUUCUAGUGACUGGGGCAUCCCUAGGAAUCCCCAGGAAUCAGAGGACUUUAUUCCAAGAUUAUCUUGACUUAGCAACUUUCUUACUCUUUUAAAGACUACCACCUGACUCUAUUUCAAAUAUUUCUGCCUGUGAUGUAAAAAAUCUCUAUCAAAAUGGUUUAAAAGCCUGGGGAACAAAGAAAAAAAAAUGCCAAGGGUAGUUUCCCUUGCUGACAAGAGGUGUUUAUGUUGCCUUUAAUAGUCAUGAAGGAUGUUGUAAAAUACUUCAGGAUCAGGGCUCCCCAGACUGUUGAUUUUAUGGGCAGCUUGUUUGCUUAGCUGUUUGUUUGUGUUACAUUUUUAAAUUUAAAAAAUGUUUAAGCUUAUUAUCUUUCGCAGAGGGAGUUGAUUUUGGAAUUGCUGAAAGGUUCAAAUGUGGUAUUUUAAAAAGUGAAACACCAGAUUCUAGCAAUUUUGCUGCUAUGUGCUAAAGAUUCAGCACAUUAGUACCUAAAAACUGGAUUUGAUUAUUCUUUUUCUCUUAAGCCUCCAAAAUGCCAUUGUUUCAUCUGACAUACAAUUUAUGCUAGAGUUACUUAAACUGGUGUAUGCAGUAACUCCUAUUGCAGUGUUCUUGGGAGAUGUGAGGCCUAGGGUUUUUACCUUUUGGUGUCAUUUCAAUGCAAUAGUGAUGAGUUCACAGGGUUAGGAGGAAAGGGUGUUGCCCUCUUUCACUCAUUCCUUGUGUGUGUGACAAAUCUGGGCAGAACAUUCAAAUGCUGUGUUCUGAAUUUUCCUCCUCACUGAAUUGAGAGAAAUUUUGGAAGUUUGGAAGGCUCUCUUGAACUUUUAGGAUGAACAAAAUAACACUAUGAGAAGUUAAAUUGAUUUGCCUCUGUUUGAGGUUGAUGGGGGCCUUCAGCAUAUAAAAGUAAACAUGCAGAAUGCCAGCCAGUGCUAUUCCAAGGCAGAGAAUGGCUCAAGAACAUUUUAUGCAUGCAUACAGUUUUAAAAAAAUCAGAAUUGUGGCAUUGUGCCAAAAGCACCUCUACCUUCAUCCUAGUGUUCUUUUGAAGAAGAAAACAUAUUAUUAUUUAUAAAGAGACAAAUCAGAGCAUUCAAUAGUGACCUAGGUAAAACAAUACUGACAAAAUAACAGUAAUUAUACUAUGCAUUUAUUGAUUCAUUCAUAUUUUUCAUUCCUUCUAGUCUUCCAGUGCCUCACAAGCUAGUCAAGCAUGCCACAUACUUACACCAUGACAUAAACAUUGCACAUCCCCAACUCUACAAUUGUCGGCUGAUUGAGAACCUUACUCAACCGUCAACCUGCCAUGGUCUUGCUCCUAAUUAUUUGGAACUUUUGUCUUGCCAUAAUUGUGAACUAAAGCCGUGAAAAUAGCACAUAUUUUCACAGAUGGCAGGGCUAGUUGGUCCUUGAUUACUUGACCUCUUGGUGCUGGCUAGACAGAAAGCCCCAAGUGAAUGUUUAUACAUUGUACCCAGAAUUUUGUAGAAACUUUAGCCAUGGAUCCCAGCUUGGAAGCUUGGACCAUUUGGCCGGUUUGGGUUUGAUGUAAAAUUUCUUGGUCUUUCACUGGGAACUUUCGAGUUAUUUUAUGAGACAAGAGCUGCCAUCAUACUCAGCUUUUCAUAAAUCUUGCUCUUAACAUCUUAUCUUCAUAUGGGCAUUUUGACCAUGUCAGUUAGAGAAGCCCAGGAGGACAAGGUAACCCAUUGUCAUCUUUUUUCCGGAGUGAUCAUAACAGAUGCCUACUCAAAUAAAUGAAUGUUCCUUUAUCUGACCCAAUGGGCAUGAAAGCAUAUGAGAAACUGAAUAGAGGAAGUUAGAGGCUAAUGGUUAAGAAAUGGGAAAGUGGUAGAAGAGGCAUUUGAUGGGUUUUGCCUGUAAUCCCAGUCCCUAAUAGAAGUAAGGGCAGGGGAUGAUAGAAGGAAGAUUGGCUGGAUGCAUUGACCUUUGGUUGUAAUGGGUCAAUAAUUAGACCUAGAAAUUUCUAAAAUUGCAAAUUGGUUCUAUAGGAAAGUUACUGCAGUCUAUAGACAGGGACCUAGAGAAUCCUUCUCUGUAUGUUAGAUGGGAAAUGGUAGAAGUCCCUGGAUCCUCAAAAGAUACAAUAAAAAGAAAACCAACUUAUUUCCACCCCUCCAAUAAUGUCCUCUCUAUUUCCUGAAUAAUUUUUAAUUUAGGAUGAGAAACAGGCUUUUGAGAAGACAAAGGAAUCCUGCAGUUUUUACUGAAUGAUGGUUAGUUUUUACAGAGGAAUUUACCUUCACUGAAAGACAAUCCAAGAAACUGUUCUCACCUAUAAUUUUGGAAAAUAGUUCCCCCCAGCUCUGUAAUGGGUGCAACAAUGCUAGAACACAAAGGUGCACACACACACACGCGCACACACACACACGAAGGAAGGGGAGAAACUAAUCCCCUUCCCCUCAAAACUGUUUGGUGUAGUUUAUUACAGAUUCUAAAUUGCUGCCAAGGACAUUUAGAAUUAAAAUCAGCUUGAUGCACCUUUAGCAUUCUUAUUUCUAACCAUCAUACUUCCACUUUUUAAAAAGUUAGCUUCUUGACCAAUGGUUCUUAAAACUAUAAUCAUAUUAGUUAAAAAAAUAAAGAUGGGAAUUUCCAAAAUGUUUUCUAGCUCCUGUUACUCAUCUAACAAUAGGCAAUGAAAGUUAUAAUUGAGUUCCUGGUAUGAUAAGAACUUUCUUAGGGGCUCUCUGGAAGAAUCAGACAUGGACUCAUAAACCUCUUUUCCCAUAGCUCUCAUCAUUUCCCUAUUGUUCUCAAUCUCCAUUUCUCUCUUCUGGAAUUUAAACAUACGUUUAUAUUUUUAAAUCAUUUCUUUUGGACACUGGAUGAAAAUGGGAUGGCACUAAAGGCAUUAAGGAGUCCCAUUAAAAAAGGACCUCCAAAUAUGUGGGCAUCAGGGAAAAGUUCUGAUUCCAGUUAGGCCUUUAGGGAUGACAGAAAAGCUGAUUUUCACCUUGCAGGUCUGGAAGUUUUGUGGACCUGGAGAAUUUUUGCUAACCUCAGCUACUCCCUCUUUAAAAAUUGACCUGUCUUGCUUAGGCCAAAGGAAUCAGUAACUGGGCUUUAAGUAUUGAGGUGAGCAUACAAACUGGAUAUUUCAAAACUCAUAAAAAGGGAUUUGGAUUCUGCUUCAUCUAAAACUAUUAAUCUUUUCAUUGCUCCUGAAGGCUUCCCCUUUAACUAGAGACUAUCAAUGUUGCCCUUGGAUUAAAAGUCAACUCUGUGUUAUCUAGUGAAUAUUGCAAAAAAGCACUAUUCUUUUCCUAUGGGCAAAUAAAAAGAAUAGAUCUCAUCUUGCCCAGUGGAUGUUAAUGGACUUGAGAAAUUGCAGAAUUUAUUACCUAAGAAAACAAUGUUUCCCUUUAGUGGGAGGGAGGUCGUCAAGGGAUGGAGGCGAGAGAAGGGGAAUUGCUCUUUGGGAGCUCAUUUCUUUGCCUCCUUUUCCACCCUUACAUUCGAACAGUGCACACAUUAGAAGCUGUGUGAGGUUUUGUUUGUUUUCAAGAGAUGUUUGAAAAAAGAUCAAAUGCUUGUGAAAGGCACUGGAUUGGCAGCCCAAGAAACUAAAGUGUCCCGGAAGCUGUGUGAGCCCAGAAAUAUCCUGCAUUUCUAUUUAUUUUGGCAAUUUUACUUAAGACUACCAAUAACUGGAGUUCAUACUACAAUUAAAUUUUCCCCAGGCACCAUGAAAUGAAAGCACGUAUUACACUUAAUUUUAACUGGUUGAGAAAAAUGGUGGUUUUCUGAAAGUUCAUUAUAUGACCCGGAAACAGAAGCAAUGGCUCUCACUUGGGAGAGCCAAGCUACCUAUUUAAGUUGGAAUUAUUCAUAGAACCAGGGGUUCUCUGGGUUGGAAUGGUUCUUAGGUCAUUGAGUUCUCUUAUCCUACCACAUGCUUGAAACUCUACUACCACAUCAUGGAAAAGCGUUGGCAAGCUUGGGCUUGAAGUUUUUGGUGACACAAGACUGGCUUCUACUUCAGGAGACCAACUUCUUUUUCACAUAGCUCCAAUUUUCAGAGACAUUCUAUAACAAGUGAAGAGAUGAAGGAGAAAACUGGCUUGGGCCCAAUAUUCAGUAUGGUUGGAAACCACUUCAAGGAAGAGGUGCAAAUAUAUUCUAACUUAGAAGGAGGUAAGAAUCAGCAGAAAAGAAGGAAUCUUUGGAGAGCCAAAACCAUCUCUACACCAAAUUGAGAGACUGGAAUUAUAAGGUGAAUGCAAUUAACUGGCAGUCGCAUCCAUGUUGAGAACACAGUCAUCCCUUUAAUAGAGAACAUUUGCUGUGCUUGACAAACUCACAGUGAAAUGGUUGGAUCCAUAGGAAGCAACAUGCUGAAAAUGGUUUCAAUAUGAUCCUGUUUUUUCACUCAAUAGCCAUUGAUUGAGGGUGUCCAGCCAAAAACAAUGAGAAAAUGAGCCAACAAUAGUCUUACCCUUUGACCAUAUUAGAUAAAGUCGCAGCUGAAAUUUGUUAUAUGUUUCAGGAAUAACAAAGCAUCCAUAUGGAACAUAUAUUUGGCAGUGUGGCAGCUGAUGAAACCAGGAAAAUUAGACAAAUUAUCAAUUGCUCGCUCCCAAAUUACCCCAAAAAGAAAUUAGAUCCAUUUUCAGUAGCUUUGCCUUCAAAUUUCUUCAUUCCGUGAGUCACCACUACCUUCUGCCAAACUAAAUAUGUCUAUGAACGGCUGGAAACUUUAAUGGAAAGAAACAUAAAACUCAAACUACGUAGGAAAAUUUAAGCUUCUUCAUGGAAGAUCUUCGUGGAAGACUAGCAAGUUAGGAAUGUGUGAAGACAGACAACACAUCGAUAAUUCCUUUUGUUUGGGGUCACUUCUGAGUUAGAGAGCAAUGCAACAUGCUGGCUUGACUUCAAAUUAAAAUCAGCUUUUUCCUUUAUUUCUUUUGUAAGCCUCCAAUCCCUCAAACUACUAGGGUUUAUUAAGGUACACAGUCCUACAGUCAGGUCGAUCAGAUUUGGGAUAAAGAGACUUCAUGAUGUUAUCCGAUGGAUGGUAGAAAUUAGUAAAUGAAGAUUUCAUGAAUGGCUAA
rnacentral:lncRNA from 1 species